rnacentral:lncRNA from 1 species
CUACCUUCCAUCCAUUUACUCUCUAAGAUAUUCAAGAGAUAUUACGGUUAAACGAUGAAAGAGUUUAAGAGUUUAUCAGCCACAUUUCUCUUCCAUGGUCUGGACCGCAGAGAAGUAAGAUGGAGCCGCUAACCCCUGGUCUGGACAAUAGAGAUUCCAUGGUUUCUCUAAUUUUUUGAUUCAAUUGCGUAAUCAGUAGUCGUGGGCACAAGCACAUCUUUGUAUAAUCAAAGUCUGUAUAAUCAAAGUCUGAAACAAACAAGGAACGCCAAGAGUGCAAAGCAGAAACAGAAGAUGAAACCAACAAGGAGCGUAAAAAGGCUCGAAAGAUUGAGAAAGAGGCACGCCAAGAACGCGAAGUAGAAACAGAAGCUAAACCCGAGGCCGAUGAACGUAAAGCGGCGCGGAAAGCCCGCAAAGAAGCCGCGCGGAAAGAAGAUGAAGAUGGCAAUUCCGAGCCCUGAAGGCACCGCCGUCGAGCCGAAAGAAGAUAAAGAGAUGGAGUCCUGAAGCACAAGGCAUUGUUUUAAGGUUUUUUUUUUUAAUUUUUUGAUUAUUUUUUUUCUUGAUCCAAUUGUAGAAUUUAGAAUCAGAUGUCAACGCGGCAAAUCUUUCUCUUUUUUAUUUUAUUCAAUUCAAACUUGUGAAUAAGCCGUGCAAAUUUUUUUUUAUUCAAUUGUAAAAGCAUUUCGGUUUGGAAUAACAUGGUUUGUAAUGACACGGUUUGUAAAGUUUCGGUUGAAAUGCUUGUAUCUUAAAUGGAAUUUAUUAAAUGGUAAAGUUAAAUGACCGAGUAUUCACUCUUUAUUAUAUAUUCCCAGCUUUGCAUAGACUUUCAAGAAAUUCUCAAAUUUAUUGAUCGAUCACCU